GAUGAACGCUGGCGGCGUGCUUAACACAUGCAAGUCGAACGGAAAGGCCCAAGCUUGCUUGGGUACUCGAGUGGCGAACGGGUGAGUAACACGUGGGUGAUCUGCCCUGCACUUCGGGAUAAGCCUGGGAAACUGGGUCUAAUACCGGAUAGGACGAUGGUUUGGAUGCCAUUGUGGAAAGUUUUUUCGGUGUGGGAUGAGCUCGCGGCCUAUCAGCUUGUUGGUGGGGUAAUGGCCUACCAAGGCGUCAACGGGUAGCCGGCCUGAGAGGGUGUACGGCCACAUUGGGACUGAGAUACGGCCCAGACUCCUACGGGAGGCAGCAGUGGGGAAUAUUGCACAAUGGGCGCAAGCCUGAUGCAGCGACGCCGCGUGGGGGAGGACGGCCUUCGGGUUGUAAACUCCUUUCGCUAGGGACGAAGCGUUUUGUGACGGUACCUGGAGAAGAAGCACCGGCUAACUACGUG
rnacentral:rRNA from 1 species